GUCGAUAUGCCCGAGUGGUUAAGGAGACAGACUUGAAAUCUGUUGGACUUUGCCCAUGCAGGUUCAAACCUGCUAUCAACG